UGCAGUCGAACGGUAAGGUCCUUCGGGAUACACGAGUGGCAAACGGGUGCGUAACGCGUACGGAACAUGCCUCUAUCARAGAGAUAGCCCUGGGAAACUGGGUAUAAUACCUCAUAGUAUUGUAUUGCCGCAUGGUAUUUACAAUUAAAGCUCCGGCGGAUAGAGAUUGUCGUGCGUCCCAUUAGCUAGUUGGUAAGGUAACGGCUUACCAAGGCGACGAUGGGUAACUGGUUUGAGAGGAUGAUCAGUCACACUGGAACUGAGACACGGUCCAGACUCCUACGGGAGGCAGCAGUAGGGAAUAUUGGACAAUGGACGCAAGUCUGAUCCAGCCAUCCCGCGUGCAGGAUUAAGGCCCUCUGGGUUGUAAACUGCUUUUAUUAGAGAARAAAACCUCAGAUUUAUCUGAACUUGACGAUAUCUAAUGAAUAAGCACCGGCUAACUCCGUGCCAGCAGCCGCGGUAAUACGGAGGGUGCAAGCGUUAUCCGGAUUUACUGGGUUUAAAGGGUGCGCAGGCGGUAAUUUAAGUCAGUGGUGAAAGCCUACAGCUCAACUGUAGAACUGCCAUUGAAACUGAAAUACUUGAGUGUGGUAGAGGUGGGCGGAAUACAACAUGUAGCGGUGAAAUGCAUAGAUAUGUUGUAGAACACCGAUUGCGAAGGCAGCUUACUAAACCAUUACUGACGCUCAUGCACGAAAGCGUGGGAGCGAACAGGAUUAGAUACCCUGGUAGUCCACGCCCUAAACGAUGUUCACUCGAUAUUUGCGAUAAACUGUAAGUGUCCAAGCGAAAGCGUUAAGUGAACCACCUGGGGAGUACGAUCGCAAGGUUGAAACUCAAAGGAAUUGACGGGGGUCCGCACAAGCGGUGGAGUAUGUGGUUUAAUUCGAUGAUACGCGAAGAAYCUUACCUAGGCUCUAAUUCUAUACGACAGGCCCCGAAAAGGGUUUUUUUCUUCG
rnacentral:rRNA from 1 species